rnacentral:misc_RNA from 1 species
GAUGAAGAACGUAGCGAAAUGCGAUAAGUAAUGUGAAUUGCAGAAUUCAGUGAAUCAUCGAAUCUUUGAACGCACAUUGCGCCCCUUGGUAUUCCGAGGGGCAUGCCUAUUCGAGCGUCAUUAUCACCCCUCAAGCCUAGCUUGGUGUUGAGGCCUGCUGUCAAGGCAGCCUCUAAAAUCAGUGGCAGUGCUGUCAGGCUCUAAGCGUAGUAAAUCUAAUCGCUAUAGACACCUGGUGGACACUCGCCAGAACCCCCCCAUUUUUUAAUGAUUGACCUCGGAUUAGGUAGGGAUACCCGCUGAACUUAAGCAUAUCAAUAACGGAGGA